GAUGAACGCUGACAGAAUGCUUAACACAUGCAAGUCAACUUGAAUUUGGGUUUUUAACUUAGAUUUGGGUGGCGGACGGGUGAGUAACGCGUAAAGAACUUGCCUCACAGCUAGGGACAACAUUUAGAAAUGAAUGCUAAUACCUGAUAUUAUGAUUUUAAGGCAUUUUAGAAUUAUGAAAGCUAUAAGCACUGUGAGAGAGCUUUGCGUCCCAUUAGCUAGUUGGAGAGGUAACAGCUCACCAAGGCGAUGAUGGGUAGCCGGCCUGAGAGGGUGAACGGCCACAAGGGGACUGAGACACGGCCCUUACUCCUACGGGAGGCAGCAGUGGGGAAUAUUGGACAAUGGACCGAGAGUCUGAUCCAGCAAUUCUGUGUGCACGAUGAAGUUUUUCGGAAUGUAAAGUGCUUUCAGUUGGGAAGAAAGAAAUGACGGUACCAACAGAAGAAGUGACGGCUAAAUACGUGCCAGCAGCCGCGGUAAUACGUAUGUCACGAGCGUUAUCCGGAUUUAUUGGGCGUAAAGCGCGUCUAGGUGGUUAUGUAAGUCUGAUGUGAAAAUGCAGGGCUCAACUCUGUAUUGCGUUGGAAACUGUAUAACUAGAGUACUGGAGAGGUAAGCGGAACUACAAGUGUAGAGGUGAAAUUCGUAGAUAUUUGUAGGAAUGCCGAUGGGGAAGCCAGCUUACUGGACAGAUACUGACGCUAAAGCGCGAAAGCGUGGGUAGCAAACAGG
rnacentral:rRNA from 1 species